UACGGAGGGGGCUAGCGUUGUUCGGAGUUACUGGGCGUAAAGCGCACGUAGGCGGCUUUGUAAGUUAGAGGUGAAAGCCCAGAGCUCAACUCUGGAACUGCCUUUAAGACUGCAUCGCUUGAAUCAUGGAGAGGUCAGUGGAAUUCCGAGUGUAGAGGUGAAAUUCGUAGAUAUUCGGAAGAACACCAGUGGCGAAGGCGACUGACUGGACAUGUAUUGACGCUGAGGUGCGAAAGCGUGGGGAGCAAACGGG
rnacentral:rRNA from 1 species